rnacentral:rRNA from 1 species
GUAGCUAAAUGCGGAAGAGAUAAGUGCUGAAAGCAUCUAAGCACGAAACUUGCCCCGAGAUGAGUUCUCCCUGAGACUUUAAGUCUCCUGAAGGAACGUUGAAGACGACGACGUUGAUAGGUCGGGUGUGUAAGCGCAGCGAUGCGUUGAGCUAACCGAGAAGUGAAACGCCGUAGCGCCGAUGGUA